rnacentral:rRNA from 1 species
GAGUUUGAUCUUGGCUCAGAAUGAACGCUGGCGGCAUGCCUAACACAUGCAAGUCGAACGAAGGCUUCGGCCUUAGUGGCGCACGGGUGCGUAACGCGUGGGAAUCUGCCCUUGGGUUCGGAAUAACAGUUAGAAAUGACUGCUAAUACCGGAUGAUGUCGUAAGACCAAAGAUUUAUCGCCCAAGGAUGAGCCCGCGUAGGAUUAGCUAGUUGGUGGGGUAAAGGCCCACCAAGGCGACGAUCCUUAGCUGGUCUGAGAGGAUGAUCAGCCACACUGGGACUGAGACACGGCCCAGACUCCUACGGGAGGCAGCAGUGGGGAAUAUUGGACAAUGGGCGAAAGCCUGAUCCAGCAAUGCCGCGUGAGUGAUGAAGGCCUUAGGGUUGUAAAGCUCUUUUACCCGGGAUGAUAAUGACAGUACCGGGAGAAUAAGCUCCGGCUAACUUCGUGCCAGCCGCCGCCGUAAU